CCGACUCGGGUCCCACGUCCCGCUGGACUUUGGCUAGUGGAUCCCGCAGUGCCCAUAGCCUUAGAAACCCUGGGAAAGAGAGAAGUCACGAUUAUUUCAAAUUCCUCAUUCAGAGCGCCUUGUUCAGACCCUUUCCAGUGCUUGUAGUGCCAAGCACGUGUCAGCGUUGAAAAUUCAUUUAUCAAGGAUGCGUGCCGUUCACGUCCCUCGCGCUAACUUCUAUACAAAGUAUUACGAUUCCAGCAUUUUUCAGGAGUCUGGAGUUAGGGGCGAGGCUGCGCCUAGGAAUGUAAGUUUAGGGAUCACCAGCAUAUAAAUGGCGUUUAAAAUCAAGAGACUAAAGGCAGACAGAAAAGUUGAAGGUCUUGUUCUACUGUGACGUUUGUGGUGAUGAGGAGACACCAGUGAAGACAGAGGGAACAACCAGUCAAGUGGGAAAGUGCGGCAGCCUGGAAGCCUCGGUGUCUGAGAGAGGAGAGUAACCACCGCAUGCUAAGUAAGAUGUCUGAGACUUAACCCUCAGAUUUAACAACAUGGAGGCCACUGGUGAUGCUGAGAGCACACUUUCAGUAGACUGGUUGGAGUGGAUUUCGUAGCGAGUGAAAAUUGGACAUAACAAUUGUAGCCAACCCUCUCAAGGACUUUACUUAAAAAAAAAAAAAAGGAGAGGAAAUAGAGCUAGAACAGUAAGUGGGAUUGAAAGAUUUUAAAAUCUUUAAGAGAAAUACCACAUUGGUAUUCUGAUGAGAGAUCUAGUGAAGAUGAGAAAACUGAUGAUUCAGGAAAGACGGCGUAUUGCUGGAGCAACAUCCUGGGGUGUUAGAAGAGAUGGAGUCCAGACCAGGUGAAAGGAGAUCAGUCCUGGAGCCUGAGUGGAGGACUUGGCCUCUGCUAGGUCAUGGCCAGGAGAGAAGGCAAACUACAUGGUUGCAAAUGCAGGCUGGGUUCCAGCAGAAAAUACUUUGGCCACCUGAUGCGAAGAGCUGGUUCACUGGAGAAGACCCUGAUGCUGGGAAUGAUUGAGGG